rnacentral:misc_RNA from 1 species
GAUGAAGAACGUGGUGAAAUGCGAUAAGUAAUGUGAAUUGCAGAAUUCAGUGAAUCAUCGAAUCUUUGAACGCACCUUGCGCUCCUUGGUAUUCCGAGGAGCAUGCCUGUUUGAGUGUCAUUAAAUUCUCAACCCACCCAGUUUUGAUAGCUGGUGUGUGGCUUGGAUGUGGGGGUUUCUGCCGGCCUCUGUAGUAAGAGGUCAGCUCCCCUGAAAUGCAUUAGCGGAACGGUUUGCGAUCCGUCACUGGUGUGAUAAUUAUCUAUGCCAAAGACUUGUGAACGCUCUCUGUCUGUUCAGCUUCUAACAGUCCCUUUAUGUGGACAACCUUUAUAAUGAACAUUUGACCUCAAAUCAGGUAGGACUACCCGCUGAACUUAAGCAUAUCAAUAAGCGGAGGA